UACGGGGGGGGCAAGCGUUGUUCGGAAUUACUGGGCGUAAAGGGCGCGUAGGCGGCCUGCUAAGUCGGAUGUGAAAUCCCUCGGCUCAACCGAGGAACUGCAUCCGAUACUGGCGGGCUUGAAUCCGGGAGAGGGAUGUGGAAUUCCAGGUGUAGCGGUGAAAUGCGUAGAUAUCUGGAGGAACACCGGUGGCGAAGGCGGCAUCCUGGACCGGUAUUGACGCUGAGGCGCGAAAAGCUAGGGGGAGCAAACGGGAUUAAGAUAC
rnacentral:rRNA from 1 species